GAGUUUGAUCCUGGCUCAGGAUGAACGCUAGCGGCAGGCCUAAUACAUGCAAGACGAACGGUAAGCUUUGUAGCAAUACGGAGCCUAGAGUGUCGUAAGGGUGCGUAACACGUAUGCAAUCUACCCUGUACAGGAGUAUAGCUCCCCGAAAGGGGAAUUAACCCUCCAUAACAUAGCGAGUCGGCAUCGACUUGCUAUUAAAACUGAGGUGGUACAGGAUGAGCAUGCGUCUGAUUAGCUAGUUGGUAGUGUAAUGGACUACCAAGGCAAUGAUCAGUAGGGGAACUGAGAGGUUGAUCCCCCACACUGGCACUGAGAUACGGGCCAGACUCCUACGGGAGGCAGCAGUAGGGAAUAUUGGACAAUGGGUGAGAGCCUGAUCCAGCCAUGCCGCGUGCAGGAAGAAGGCCUUCUGGGUUGUAAACUGCUUUUAUCUGGGGAUAAAAAGGCCUUGCGAGGCAAACUGAAGGUACCAGAUGAAUAAGCCACGGCUAACUACGUGCCAGCAGCCGCGGUAAUACGUAGGUGGCAAGCGUUGUCCGGAUUUAUUGGGUUUAAAGGGUGCGUAGGCGGUUUAUUAAGUCAGUGGUGAAAGACGAUAGCUUAACUAUCGAGGUGCCAUUGAUACUGAUGAACUUGAGUGCACACGAGGUAAGCGGAAUGGACGGUGUAGCGGUGAAAUGCAUAGAUAUCGUCCAGAACACCGAUAGUGAAGACAGCUUACCAGAGUGCAACUGACGCUGAGGCACGAAAGUGUGGGGAUCAAACAGGAUUAGAUACCCUGGUAGUCCACACUGUAA
rnacentral:rRNA from 1 species